AGUACUGUUUUUUUUUUUUUUUUUUUUGAGUGUUCUGCUGAUGUUUACAACAGAAUAUUAUAGCUGAGUGCAGGUUGGGAUCAGACUUGAUAAAUUUAGGGUAUGUCUCAGUUUCAAAAAAUACUGACAAUGACUUUUAGUCUACAGUGAAAGUUUUAGAUUAGAUGCCUAGGGUACUUUUUGGUUCUGUAAUUCUGGUUUCCAAAAUUUUGGUUUUCUAAGAAUCAAUAUUUCCUUUCUUACUGUCUUUUUUGAGGGGUCGAGAGAUGUCUUUAAAGUUUAUUUUUUUUGCAGGUAGGAAGUUGAUAUGUAUUAAUUGUGCAAAAAGUGGAAAAUAGAGAGAUAUAUAAAGGAUAAAAUAUUAACCUCCUCUAAUCUUACUUUUUAGUGAGAACCACUAUUAACCACUUUGGGAUUUUUUUUUUUUCUCUAUGUGUGUGUGUGUGUGUGUGUGUGUGUGUGUGUGUGUAUCUUAUCAGACCUGAGGUCACAACACAUACAUAAUUUUGUUUUUUAUUUUCUCUUUUUCCUCUUUUGGACUGCAUCAGAAGCAUAUGGAAAUUCCCAGGCUAGGGAUUGCAUUGGAGCUACAGCUGUUGGCCUAUGCCACAGCCACAGCAACUUGGGAUCCGAGCCGCGUCUCUGUGGUGUAGGUCUCAGAUGCAGCUUGGAUCUGGCAUUGCUGUUGCUAUGGUCUAGGCUGGCAGCUACAGCUCGAUUGGACCCCUAGCCUGGGAACUUCCAUAUGCCACAGGUGCAGCCCAAAAAAGACACACACAUACACAUACACACAAAAUUCUGGAAAAAGAAUUCCAGGAAGUUCCAAAAAAACAAAACUUGGAAUUUGCUGUGUUCCAGCAGCUAUUUCCAUAGCAUGUACAUUGUAUUAGGUAUUAGCAGUCAUCUAGGAGUUCAAUGUAGCACAAUGUUUUAAGAAUCCGAUUGUAGCGGCUCAGGUUGCUGCAGAGGCUUGAGUUUGAUCCCAGGCCCAGCCCAGUGGGUUAAAGGAUCCAGGCGUUGCUGCAGCUGUGGUGCGUAGGUCUAAGCUUUGGCUUGGAUUCAGUCCCUGGCCUGGGAACUUCCAUGUACGUGUGUAUGGCCAUUAAAAAAAAAAAAAGUCAUCUAAACAUGAUUUAAAGUAUAGGGGAGGAUGUGCAUAGUUAUAUGCAAAUACACCCUUUUAUAUAAGGGACUUGAGCAUCCCCAGAUUUUGGUAUCCAUGGGGGUUCCAGAGCCACUCCCCUGCGGAUACUAAAGGAUGAUAUCGCUGCAGAAAGCUCAGACUCCCCCCACCUUCCCAGGAGGAACGCUGACAGGAGUGUGGGUCUAGCAGCUCAGGCAGGGAAGUAGCCAUUGGGGCCUCUGGAUGUCCUGAAGGAGCUGGAGGACUGGUAAGGUUUUGGGAGGAGACGUGAGGACGAGAGAUGGGUUUUGUUUCUUUUGGUUUGUCUUUUUAUGGCCACACCCUUGGCAUAUGGAAGUUCCCAGGCUAGGGGCUGAAUCAGAGCUGCAGCCGUCAGCCUACGACACAGCCACAGUCAUGCCAGAUCCAAGGCAUGUUUGUGACCUACACCACGGCUCAGGCAAUGCUGGAUCCUUAACCCACUCAGCGGGGGCCAGGGAUCAAACCUGUGUCCUUGUGGAUCCUAGUUGGGUUCGUUACUGCUAAGUCGUGAUGGGAACUCCGAGAGAUGUUGACAGGAGACAGACGGGGUCUUCAGGUUACCGUUUCUGGUCCUGAGACCUGGAAACCCCGAGGAAAGAGAGAUUCAGACAGUGAGUCAGAAAAAUAACAUCAGUCCUGCUUCUGCUCCAGACAUUCCAGUGCUGCUGAAGGAAGGGCCAGAGAGCACCAGUGAGCCCCAGUUUCAUGUCCGAGCAGCCCGAGUCUCAAGGGGUGGGUCCAACUUAGGGAAUUUCUCCUGCAUCUUGGAAAAUAUGAUUCUUCAGUUGAAUCCGGCCUUUUGGAUAAUGUGAAAGGAAAAACAACCAACAUUUAAGUCUUAAGCGCCCACAUUUACUAUCUGAAAUAUAGAAGGUGUUUGCUAGAGGGUUCAUAAUUUUUUUUUUCCCCCAAGUGUGGAAUUAUUCAAGAGUAGUGUAAGGCCCUGCAGAGUCUGGUUAAUAGAAUUUACAGCAGACAAGUCAGGAAAGACCAAAUUUCAUGGAAAUACCUCUAAAGCAUGGUUGCUGGGAAUUUAAAUUAGAUUUGAGUGUGACUGAUGGCCACUAGAAAUGCUGGAGUGUUGUUUUCUGAUGGAGUGGGUACCGAUUUGGAGUUUUGAGUCCAAGUAUCUGCAUUUUCCAGAUGAAAUCACUUUCCCUAAGUGAAUGAAAACACGGGCAUAUCGGGAGCACAAAGCUAUUGGUUUGAGAACGUGUCCCUUAGCAGAUUGAUGUGCAAUCAGGAAGAUUCUAGUGGCCGGACUCCAAGGAGUCUUUGGAGAAUUUUCCGCUCAAGAAUAGUGUAGUUUUGGAGUUCCUGCUGUGGCACAGUGGGUUAAGAAUCCAACUACAGCAGCUUGGGUCCCUGUGAAGGCUCCAGUUCAUCCCUGGCCCAGCACAUGGGUUAGAGGAUCCGAUGUUGCUGCAGCUGUGGCAUUAGGUCUCAGCUGCAGCUUGGUUUCUAUCCCUGGCCCAGGAACUUCCAUAUGCUUGGGUGCAGCCAUUAAAAAAAAGAAAAAGGAGUUCCUGUUUUGGCUCAGCGGUAGCAAACCUGACCAGUCUCCUGAGGACUUGGGUUGAUCCCUGGCCCCGUUCAGUGGGUUAAGGAUCCAGUGUUGCUGUGAACUGUGCUAUAGGUUGCAGACCUGGCUUGGAUCCCACGUGGCUGUGGCUGUGGCUGUGGCCAGCAGCUCUGAUUGACCCCUAACCUGGGAACUUCAAUAUGUCCAGCCCUAAAAAGCAAACAAACAAACAAAAACAAAUCAAAACAAAAAAGCUGGAGGAAUUGGAAAGAGAAUUAAGAAAAAAAAGAAUAAUAAAGGGAAACGGGUACGGAAGGUAUUAUAAUGGAAUGAAACCUAAAUGCACUAAAGACUGACCAUCUGAAUUCAAAUAGUUUUAAGCGAUCUUUGCAAGAAGUGAUUAUGUAAGUGAAUGGAAAAGAACAGGAAUAGAGAAGAGAUAUUAUUCUUCUGGCUGAGAGAAACCAUGAAAGACUUGAACUAGGUCUCUGCAAAGGUGCUUGGUAAAGUCAAUGCAUUGCCACCACUUUUUUAAAAAACAUUUACACUUCUUUUUUUUUCAUUUUUCAAUAUUUGAUUGAAGUGUAGUCUACAAUGCUGUGUUACUUUCUGCUGUCCAUCAGAGUGAUUCAGCCAGGCCUAUAUGCAUAUCCAUACCCAGAUAGAUUGUCACAGAAUAUUGGGUAGGGUUCCCUGUGCUGUACAGCAGGAUCCAUUCCAUAUGCAAUAGUGUACAUAGGCCAAUCCCAAACCUCCCCCCCAAAAGUAUAGUUGUUGAGAAUCAAGGAGAAAGCAAGAUUAAAAUAUUGGGUGAUGGAUCUGCAUCUGUCUCACUGGCUCACUUUGGUCCACUGAGCGGGUACCUUGCAAGGGCUGUAGGCAUCAGUGUGAGAUGUUAAUCUAAUAGGCUGUUCCUUCACUGGGAUAUUCUUGGUGGACCUCUGUUGUUUCCACCAGGUGUGUUGACAUUUAGAACACUCAUCAGCAGGCAGGACAGCCCAUUGAGGACGUGAGUGAUGGAGACAGUGUGGGAUGGAGCUUUCUAGACAGGCUCUAAAACCUCAGAUCCUUGCCUGGGCAGGGCUUCAUUCCAUUCCAAGUUGCUAGGACAGAUCUGCACAUAUUCAUGAAGAGUUGCAUCUAAGUUCCCUCAGGAAGGGCUUUCUAGGUGAUUUUAAAGAUGCGCAUCAAUGACACUUCAAAAACCUUAAAAAAAAAAAAAAAAAAAA
rnacentral:lncRNA from 9 species